rnacentral:rRNA from 1 species
AGGACGAACGCUGGCGGCGUGCUUAACACAUGCAAGUCGAGCGGAAAGGCCCUUCGGGGUACUCGAGCGGCGAACGGGUGAGUAACACGUGAGUAAUCUGCCCCUAGCUCUGGGAUAGCUCCGGGAAAACCGGGAUUAAUACCGGAUAUGACCACUUUAGACAUCUGCUGUGGUGGAAAGAAUUUCGGCUAGGGAUGAGCUCGCGGCCUAUCAGCUUGUGGUGGGUAACGGCCUACCAAGGCGACGACGGGUA